GAUGAACGCUGGCGGCGUGCCUAAUACAUGCAAGUCGAGCGAACAGACGAGGAGCUUGCUCCUCUGACGUUAGCGGCGGACGGGUGAGUAACACGUGGAUAACCUACCUAUAAGACUGGGAUAACUUCGGGAAACCGGAGCUAAUACCGGAUAAUAUAUUGAACCGCAUGGUUCAAUAGUGAAAGACGGUUUUGCUGUCACUUAUAGAUGGAUCCGCGCCGCAUUAGCUAGUUGGUAAGGUAACGGCUUACCAAGGCAACGAUGCGUAGCCGACCUGAGAGAGUGAUCGGCCACACUGGAGCGGAGACACGGUCCAGACUCCUACGGGAGGCAGCAGUAGGGAAUGUUCCGCAAUGGGCGAAAGCUUGACGGAGCAACGCCGCGUGAGUGAUGAAGGUCUUCGGAUCGUAAAACUCUGUUAUUAGGGAAGAACAAAUGUGUAAGUAACUAUGCACGUCUUGACGGUACCUAAUCAGAAAGCCACGGCUAACUACGUG
rnacentral:rRNA from 1 species